GCUGUCAGUGGAGCAGCCCAGUGGUAUCGACAGGCAGGGAAAGCCCUCAGACAGUAAGUACAGUGUCUCCGGUGAAGACCGCCGCUCCGCUCUCUGCUGGCUCUACUGUGAGGGCUGCGCCUCUACACGGACUGAAAACACUCCAACACAGCGACACUGAGCUGUAGCAUUGAUUUGUUUCUAGCGGGGACAUGGCUGAUGUAAGUUCAAACGAGUCGUCCGGCGGGGACGUGGCGAAUAGGUUUGCUCGCAAAGGUGCUUUGAGGCAAAAAAACGUCCACGAGGUCAAGAACCAUAAAUUCAUAGCCAGGUUCUUCAAGCAGCCGACUUUCUGCAGCCACUGCACCGACUUUAUCUGGGGGUUUGGAAAACAAGGAUUCCAGUGCCAAGUUUGCUGUUUUGUGGUCCACAAGAGGUGCCAUGAAUUAGUCACAUUCUGCUGCCCAGGGGCAGAUAAGGGGCCCGACACAGAUGAUCCCAGAACAAAGCACAAGUUCAAGAUCCACACCUAUGGGAGCCCCACCUUCUGCGACCACUGUGGCUCUCUGCUGUAUGGCCUCAUCCACCAGGGCAUGAAGUGCGACUCCUGCGAUAUGAACGUCCACAAGCAGUGUGUUAUGAACGUGCCCAGCCUGUGUGGAACCGAUCACACUGAAAGGAGGGGGCGUGUUUACCUCAAGUGUGAGGUCACUGUGGAUAAGCUGCAGGUCACAGUGGGUGAAGGCAAAAAUCUGAUCCCCAUGGACCCCAAUGGCCUGUCUGAUCCGUAUGUCAAGCUCAAGCUCAUACCAGACCCCAAAAAUGAGACCAAGCAGAAGACCAAAACCAUCCGCUCCAACCUCAACCCCAAAUGGAACGAGACCUUCAAUUUCAAGCUGAAGCCUUCGGAUAAGGACCGCAGGCUGUCAGUGGAGGUGUGGGACUGGGACCGGACCACUAGGAAUGACUUCAUGGGGGCCCUUUCCUUCGGCGUAUCAGAGCUCAUGAAGGCUCCAGUCUGUGGCUGGUAUAAGUUAUUGUGCCAGGAGGAGGGGGAGUACUACAAUGUUCCCAUCUCAGAGGAGGAUGACGGGAAUGAGGAACUGAGGCAGAAAUUUGAGAAAGCCAAGCUAGGCCCAGGUAAGAAGGUGAUCACCGAGACGGACGACAGCCACUCCAGCCAGCAGACUCAAAACAGCCUGGACCAGGUCAAACUCAGCGACUUCAGCUUCCUGGCUGUGCUGGGGAAAGGGAGCUUUGGCAAGGUCAUGUUGGCAGAGAUGAAGGCCACUGAAGAGCUGUACGCAAUAAAGAUCCUGAAGAAGGACGUGGUGAUUCAGGACGAUGAUGUGGAAUGUACCAUGGUGGAGAAGAGAGUCCUGGCCCAACAGGACAAGCCGCCCUUCCUCACAUACCUCCAUUCGUGCUUCCAGACUGUGGACCGUCUGUACUUUGUCAUGGAGUAUGUGAACGGGGGAGACCUCAUGUAUCAUAUUCAACAAGUGGGCAAGUUCAAGGAACCUCAGGCAGUGUUCUAUGCAGCAGAGAUCGCUGUUGGUCUCUUCUUCCUGCACCUUAAAGGAGUCAUCUAUAGGGAUCUGAAGUUGGACAACGUGAUGCUGGACUGUGAGGGACACAUUAAGAUUGCUGACUUCGGCAUGUGUAAAGAGAACAUGAUAGAAGGAGUGACCACGCGCACCUUCUGCGGCACCCCAGACUACAUAGCCCCGGAGAUCAUUGCAUAUCAACCAUAUGGACGUUCUGUAGACUGGUGGGCAUAUGGAGUUCUGCUCUACGAAAUGCUGGCAGGACAGCCUCCAUUCGAUGGCGAGGAUGAAGAUGAAUUGUUCCAGUCUAUUAUGGAGCACAACGUGUCCUACCCCAAGUCCAUGUCCAAAGAAGCUGUCUCCAUCUGCAAAGGGCUGAUGACCAAGCAUCCAUCCAAGCGUCUGGGCUGCGGCACUGAGGGAGAGAGGGACAUCAGAGAACACGCCUUCUUCAGACGUAUUGAUUGGGAACGCCUCCAGAACAGGGAGAUACAGCCGCCCUUCAAGCCCAAAGUGUGUGGCAAAGGAGCAGAGAACUUUGACAAGUUCUUUACACGCACCCAGCCCCAGCUCACACCGCCAGAUGAGCUGGUUAUCGCCAACAUCGACCAGGCAGAGUUUGCAGGGUUCUCUUUCAUCAACCCACAGUUUGUACACCCGUCGCUCAUAAACAGCGUAUGAGAAGGAUGGGGAAGCGUCCCUGAAGAACCUCCCUGUUCACUGCCACCCACGCAAAGCAACCGUCAACCUAACAUCUGACCACAACUUGAUCAAGGCCCACUGUAAACCUUUAUGUAUUGGAUUUAUUCGCAAGCAGCAUUGUAGGGCAUGCAUAAUUGUUCUGUACAAUAUAUUUGCCAGUAUACAUUAUAUAGAUUAGAUCCUCAGCCAUCAAAAGAAAUGAUUUCCUUUAGUUUAAUGAUGAGCAUGUACUGUAGACAAGGAUGCCCUUCCUUAUCGCGGCAAUUAGUAUUGAAGGUUUUCCAUAAUUGGAGGCACUGAGACAGAAGGGUGUCAGGCUUUACUUAUCUAUGCCACUAUAUGAUAACAUUUAGAGAAUAAUGGCUGUAUAUAAUAUAAGCAAGAGAAUACUAAAGACGUAUGGUCCUGGAAAAGGUUUUAAUGCUUACAAAUCUGAAUAGAUAAACAUUAUGGUCUACAUAUCUAGUUGAUGGGUCACAGUUUGUUUCCAGUAUACUGUAGAUAUAAUGUGAUGACCUCAGAACCACUCACAUAAGGCAGCGUAGACUACAGCCAAAUAUGAAGGACAGGCAGUGCAGGCGCUGAAACAGCACCUUGUGAUUCAGUGUUUCCUGUAUCAUGUUUACAGUUUGUUUCCCCUGUUGAUUUCACGGUGAAGGUAUACAAUUCUCUUUAAGUCAAAUAUGAUUCUAGCCAGUCUCAACUUCCAGUGUGCGUAGCAAAUCAACUCAAGAUUGAACAGUUGUGUAAUUAUAGAAAAUAUGCAGCCUGUAAAAAUGCAAAUAUGUGAGACACAUAGGUAUGAAAGUGCAUCAGGUCUGAUUCCAAUCUAUCAAAACUUAGCUUGUUAGCUUAACAGUUAUUACCCUAUUUUACCUGCUCUCAGGGCUGGGCAAUAUGAAGAAAAUCACUUGUUAUGAUAUUUUUGACCAAAUACUUUGAUAACGAUAUUACGACAAUAUUGUAAGGUUGCCUGACACCAGACAGAAUUGUCAGCUGAUUAAACUCUGUUUCCAUCUUCAGUCUGACAUUUAACUGAUUUCUGUGGGGGAGGGAGAUACGAUUUUCCCUCACCAAUCACUCGAGGCAAUAUAUCAAUCUAUUACAGUAUUACAUCAUUUUAAGUCCACACUGAUGUGUAGCCAUGCCAACAUACCUGUUUUGCCAGGGUUUUGAGUAGUAAAGUAAAGGAAAGAAAACUACAAUAUCAGGUGAUAUUGAGAAGACAGUCAAUUUAGAGUAGCGUCGAUAGCAGUGUCUAUCUUGUCUGUAGCCUUCGUAGUUCUGGAGCACCACUUGACAAUGCUUAACAGCAGCUUGACAGCGAGUUAGCCCCACCUAUGGUGCUAAUUGGCUAAUCGAGUCCUCCCACUGCACACAUUGAUUGUCUUUUAUAUUAACCGAGAAACUGAUGUCUCCUGUCACGAUACCAGACGAAUCAGUCAAUUUAAACUCGGUAAAGUGGGCUGCUUCAAAGAUGUGGACCUGGACAGAUUUCCCAGAAUAUUACACAAUGAGAUUUUUUAUGAAUAUCAAAAGUAAUGUGGGUAUAAUGGCUAAGUGAAUAAAAGCAAACAGCUAGAAUGGUCUGGUCAGUUCAGAAGAUGGCAUCACUUUACUGUAAUGCAGCCUUUAAAACCAGGAAAAGACAACACUUACGAUACGGUAUCCAAAAUCUGAUGAUAUCUAGUCUCAUAUCAUGACAUUGAUAUAAUAUCAAUAUAUUGCCCAGCCCUAACAGUUAUAAUUCACACACCAAUUUUCUGGCCCUUACUGAAGCUGCAGAUUGUAUACUUCUCUUGUCAAUAAUUUUGUGGACACUAUGUGGACACACAGUUAUCAGUUUAGUAUGUGGGCAGUGGUAGGACAUUCUUAUAUCUUCCUUCAGUUAAAAAAAAAAAAAAAAAAAAAAAAUCAACCCUAAAACGUUUACAGUUUGUCAUGUUUUAACAUUAGUCAGUGUGAACCACUGUCUCUGUCCCAUGAUACACCCAGAACUACAAAUCCUCCCAUUAGUCAUAAAUGUCUCAACAAAAACACACGUAUACAUUUUGAUAAACUGUUUGUUUUUUGGAAUAUAACAUGAUGUCAUUGUGUAUUAACCAUCCAAUGUUAUACUGCAUACAAUAUCAUGCCCUUAGUUUUCUUAGAUGGAGAAGUUGCAAACCAGUAGAAGCAAUUCUUCUGCCAAUACUUUGUUGUCCUAAAAACAAACACAUCCCUCAUUAGGAGUCUGUCAACACAAUAAUUCUGAGUUAAAUCACUUAUUUUUGCACCCCUUUUAAUUUCUUUAAUGUCUUUAAAAAUAGAUUAGUUUUUAAUCUCCUCUUCUUUUGUGAUCUCAUACAUAUUUUUCCAUUAGAUCAGAUUGAUAUUUUAAUGCAUCUACUAUCAGUGCAUAACUCCUUUGUAAAUAAUCAUGAGUUAUUUAAAAAGAGUAUAGCAAGUUACAGUUUUUAUACCAACACCUGAAUGUGCUUUUAUUACAUUAAUUAUAUAAAACCAAUAUUUGUAUGUGUAAAAAAGAAAAAAAAAUUAAACAAUGAAGAAAGUAACCCAGUGCAGAUCAACUUUGUAACAGCUGGAUGUCUUUAAGAGUCCAGAGUGAGCAAGUUGUGAAAUAUAUCUGUUCUACUUGUUUUGGCAGAUUUAUCAAAGCUUUUAUUUUCUUUAUUCAUAUUCAAUGACUGCAAAUUGUGUGUUGAUUGGAUGCGUGUCUGGCUGUUGACUGUCCCGCUGUAUCUGCAUGCUGUUGGUAGGCAUCAUUCAUGCACGUGAUCCGCUAAAGGCUGCAUGCUAGUAAUUAUAAACGAGUUACAGUACGACCUCAGAGUGAUACUCCACUCAAAAUCUAACUUUAGUGGUAAAAGUCACCCCUUGUGGUCUUGGAAGUUUGUACCGGUUUUGUCCUUCUUGAAGAAUAAUGCCCAUGGUUAGCUUAGAUUCAUGGUUGACUUUAAAUGGAUUAAAAUAAUGACAGAUUUUAACUGAAAGUUUAAAACAAAAAACAAAAAAAAAAAAAAAAAAAAGGUGUCAAAACAUUAAAGUUUGAUUUCAAACAUAUAUAUUUUUUUUUUUUAUAUGAAAAUAUCCCUCUCAGUCUUCACCUAGACAAACAAACCCACCUUCAGCUUGCAGGCCUGGACAAACCUAUAUGGGAGGUUAAUGACACCAAAAACACAGAUUUAAGGUGGACUAUAACUGUAACCAUAGCGCUAGACCGGCUAAAUUUAACAUGGCUAGUACACACCACAGUCCGGUACCUUAAAGGAUAACGUUGGCAUUUUUCAACCUGGAACCUAUUUUUCCAUGUUUUUGUUUCUAAGUGGCUGAUGCAAACAAGGACUUUUGAAUUUGGUCCUGCAUUAAGAGAGUACCAUGCCCACAGUGUAACCAGGUGGGUCAAUUAUUCAACAUCACUGCACGUCCAGUAAAGUGUUUAUUUUUGCCACAGACAGGCUCAGAUUGUUAUUGUAAAUGUCUGAAGUGUCUCUUUACCUUUGUCUUGAUCUGGUCUGUUUGUUAUUGUGUCUUAAGUCUUGCUCAAGGAGCAGUCUCGCUCUGAAAUCUUACAAGAUGUGAGUUGUUGCAGGAAGACAAUGGUGGAAAUGCGAAUGAGAGGGAAUAGUGCGUUGUGUUGGAGUACAGAAAAGGUAGCUCAGUGUUUUAUUCAAAAGAUUUUCAAUGUUGCGUUUCUAAUGUUUUCUUCCUGCAACAAGUCACAUCUCAUGGGAUUUCAGAACAAUACUUUUCCUUGAGUAAGACUUAAACACAUUCACGAACAGACCAGAUCAAGCCAAAGGCUAAGAGACACUUCAGACACUUAGAAUGACAAUCUGAGUCUGUCUGUGGAAAAAUAACCUCUUUUAAAGGAUGUACAAUAAUGGUGCACAAUUGCCCCAUCUGGUAACAUUGUGUGCAUUGCGCGGCUGCUGACUGCAGCCCUCUUUAUCAAUACUGGACCAAUUUAAAAAAUUAAUAUUCACAUCAAUCACUUCAGCACAAAAACAUGGGAAAACAGGUCCCAGGUUGAAAAAUGCUGAUGUCACUCUUUAAGAGUGCUGAUCUUAGACCAGCUGGACUCUUUGAGAGGUGAUUGCAGGAUUUUGUAACUAUACUGCACACCAAUCACAAGUAAAGUUUCAAUGACACAGUCCUGCUACAGUAAUGAAACACCUUAGUCCUAAUGCUCAGGCAGAUUUGUAAACUAUUUGUGAAAGUAAGAGCGAGGAACAAGUGAUUUUUGCCAAAAGAAUGCAGAUCACAGGGGCUAAAGAACAUAGAGUAGACGUUUAGUUUAUUAAUCUAAAUAGAUACUAAAACAAUUUUUAAAAGACUUUCCUGAGACAUAGUCCCUGGUUCUAGAUCAGUGCUCUUUCCUGUAGAAGCUUGAUAUAUAUAUAUAUAUAUGGCCCCUGGUUCCUUUUGCCUUUACCCUUUUAGGGCGAUGUGGAACACUGAAUCCAGAUCUGUGGUCAGUUGUGACUGAGACGCACUGCUAGUUGCUAGACCAGUGGGACCACUCGCUCUUUAGUGUCUCAUGAAUGGAGUUUAUGUUGUAAUCUUAAUGUUGUGUUUUUGUCACUUUGUAAAACUUUUGUUUCUUAUGCUUUUGCUGUUGUAAGUUGCUGUCAGUGUUGUCAGUUCUGUUUCUCUAGCUUCUGCUCAGAAAUUCAGGAAUGUUUCAAAGGAUAUAUCACAUUAGAAAACACAUAUCUGACUGAUAUAGGAACUGUUGAAGCGUUUGUACGGUUUUCUCCAUGUUUUUCUAAGAAAUGUGCUCUCUCCUGCCGUGUUUCCUAUAGUAUAUAACCUUUUGCAUGUGCCAAACCUGGAAAAUGCCAGAACCCGACAAUAGCAGCGUUGCACUAGCUGUAGUCACAUGGAUGACUUCUUCUUUGUGGCAGCUUCUCCCAGCGUGGGUCGAGACCUGCCUGAAGCCACACCUGCUGUACACUCUGUUGGCCACAAACCAUAUAGCAUGCUGCCAUGAGUAUACCAGUGCACAUUGUGUCAGUACGCUUUACGAUGCCAGUCAGUUUGAUAAACGACUCAUCAUAUACGGUACUAGAUUUUCCUGCCUGUGUAGCCUUGGGCAGAGUUGUGUCCGGGAAAAAAAUAACAUUUCAACUUGUGGAGCAUUUUGAUUUAACACCUACAGUGAAUUCCACAGAAGUGAGAGAAAAUAUUCCUUGUACAUACUUAGAGUUUACUCAGCAACACUCUUGCCCUCGUCCGAGCCUCACUUGCACCUCUGUAUGUGCUGACUUAAUAGAUCCAUCCCUUUAAUAGAAUCUCUGAUUACUUGCUUCCCAAACUUCUUUCUUCUUAAUAAUGUUUUCAAAACGUCACAGUCAGUGUGGGCAUGAAAAAAAGAUUACUUACUCUCCCCUUGUGUGCCUUUCCCAACUUGAACAGAUAUACUGUACAUUGUGUUCUUAAUCUCCAUAAUCCAGCUCUGAUCUAAACUUUCUACUCCGUGUUUACUUCAUACCUUUACACCACUUUCUGUAUCUUUAAAUCCAUUGUCAAAGUCAAUUCAUUCUGUUUAUACUUCAUUUUUUAGUGUUUCAGCACAUCUUACAAAUGAAUGAAUGUGAAUAAAUGUUAAAAUAAAAACGUUCUGCACGCUUUGUUCACACAAAUGCUCCAUCAUCCGGUCAGUACAUCACAAAUUAAGAACUUUUUUUUUGUCUGACGCCAGUAACCUUUACAGUCACAACUUGACUUAUCCUCCCGUGUCUGCUUGCUUCACCUUUACCUCCCUGUGCCUAUUAAUGACUGAAUGAUGUAGUGAGUUAAUUAAUAUCUGUAUCGACAAUAUCAAUUGAUGAUCUUCGGGGAGUGAAGGAACAAUGGACGGGUGAUUGAUGGGGUUUAUAGUUAAAUGAACGAAAAGAUAGAUGAUGAUGAUGGCUUGUUUGAAGGACGACCCCUGUGCCUCGUCACAUCGAACCGCCCCUCCCUCGUCAUCUCUUGUACGCCCCUCUUUCACUCCGCCUGUUCCUCCUUCCUCAGUGCCUGGGCCAAGUCAAUCCAUCAUCUUAUCGACAGCACGCUCGUCCUUUUCACCCCUUUAAAUCCCGUCAGGUCAGGAAAGCGGUUGAUUUUUCUCGUGCGAUUUACACAGUUGGCAUCAAUUCCACCUUUUCCUUUUCUCUACUGAGGCCCCUCAGUGCCCCAUGGGAAAAGAGUUUUACUUUGUUUACAUUCUGUUUGAUGUCCUUACCUUUUUGUUUUUAACUGAUCAGGAUGUCCAGAAGAUGAUGAAGUAACUGUCUGAUUAUGUUUUAUCUUAAAUGGAAGGUUUUAAGAAAGAGGGUUUUUUUUGAUUGGCAUUUCGUACAGUACUCCUUUCAGGUUUGCUUUAGAUAAAUCUUGUGUUAUGUCUAUCCUUCGUAGUCAGUCAUCACUCUCCGCUGUGUCCUGUCCACUGUGUAAUGAGAGAGUUGAGGUGAGCUGCCAUCUUUUUGGCCGUACCAGAGCACAGGAUCAACAAUGUGCAGGAAUGCCUUAUCCCGUAACCCAUACAGUAACAUGGUCUCUAACUCGCCUCUCUUUGUUCAUUUAUUCUCUCAGCACCCCUGUCCUUGUACAUAAAUGACUUACAGUAGAUAUCUACAUAGACUGUAAAAGAAAGAAUAUAUUGUAUUUUGCAAAAUGGUGUAUGUUUGUUUUCUUCCCCUGUCAGCCUGAAACCUUUAAAAUGAGUCUGAGCUACUUACCUUGUAAUUGAUUGUGUCAUUUGUACCUAAUGUAUGAUAAUGCAAAUAAAAAAAAGGAAAAUGAGAUCCA